UUUUUUUUUUUUUUAAUUAGAAAGGAGUCUUGGUGACACAGUAGUUAAGUGCUUGGGUGCUAACCAAAAGGUCAAUAAUAAGAAUUCCUUAUAAAACCUUUUGAGUUGUGAGCUUUGAGACAAAAUAAUGAAGUCAUUCCACUUUCAAGAUGAUGUUUGGGUCAUUUGAUGAUUCUAAGUUUUAACAGAGGCUUUCUGGAGACAGUGUUAAACCCGAUAGAGUGACUUUGUAGUGGUGGUUUUUUGCAGUCGAGUCGGUUUCGACUCAUAGCAACCCAUGUAACAAAGUAGAACUACCCCCAUAGGGUUUUCUUGGCUGUAAUCUACGGGAGCAUAUCGCCAGGUCUUUUUGCCACUGGGUUUGAACUGCUAACCUUUUGGUUAAGAGCCAAGCACUUGACCAUUUGCACCACCAGGUCUCCUUAGAGUGACUUUAGGAGUAGAAAUUUCAGGCCAGGAAAAAUAGCACUGUGUAAAGAUGUUUGGGAUAUUUGUCAAAGCUUGUCAGAGUUACUGUACAUAUAGGGCUUCGCUAUGAGUCAGAAUCGACUCGACGGUACUGGGUUGGGUAUAGAGCUUCCUUAAGUGUGGAAGUAAUUGGAUACCUUGAAAAACCUGAUAUAGAGAAGAAUAUUAAGUUCAGAGAGGUGAAGCAAUUUGCCCACAGUUUCACAGCUAAUGCGUAAUAUUGGGACAGAAACUUUCCUCACUCAACCCUGAUCUCACUGAUUCUGUGGCUUUUCAUACUAAUCCUAAAAACCCAGUGUUCUGUGGAGAUGCCUCAGGGGCCACCUUAUAGAGUGGAUGAAGAAGCCCCCCAACCUCUGCUUCAACUGAAACAGCACAGUGCUAUCUGGAAUUACAUAAGAUUGGGGGAAAAAGUGGAAAACCACUAGUCAACUUCUGUGCACGGUAAAGCUCAUUUCCUGUUUGCAGUUACUUCUCAUAUCUCUGUCAUGCAAAGUUAAGCUCGGCCUGACUUUGGGCUGCUUUACAAGGAGCAUAAACAGAUUCCAUCUAACCUUUUUCUGUUGUGUUUCUUUCUUCCUGCUUUUUCACCUCCUCUUCAAUUACCUUCAUUUUUUCAUCAUACUCAUCGGCUAGAGUUUUCCAUUCUAUUCUGUUACACUGAAGACCAUUCAGCAUAGGUGUGAUUUCUUUGUGAAACCGUGAGAAUUCCUAGAAAGAAUUUUAGGUCCAGAAACCACUUAAACCAUACACUUGAUUUUAAGUACUUUUCAUAGCAAAGGAGGAUUGCUGUAAGAAAUUGUUAACAUGCUCUUAGCUGUGAGGAUGAGCUUAGCUCAGUGGCUUUGAAACUUGAGAAAGACAUCCCCUGUCUUUCCUGCCUUCGUAAGUCUGUUCAAUAUGCUCACAUCUGCGUUCUCUCACCUCUUAUUCCACCACUGAAUGAGCAAUUAGGAUAAAACCUCAAACUACUUUGGAGAAACAAGGACAUCCCUGAUGUUUCUCCAUGGGGGUGACUUUUCGAUUUUGUUACAUUUGGAAGAAAAAUUCUCCUCCAAGUGAUUACAUAUUUCAAGAAAAUAAUUUUGUUUUCUUACCUUAUAUACAAAAGUACAAACAAAAUCAAUAAAUCCAACUUGCAGUUUAGGUAGUUCAUCUUUUUUGUUUCUGUCCAUCAUAGGCUAAAAAGAGAAUAAAUCUAUUUAAUACAGUUUUCUAUGAUUCAAUAAACAAAAUAGAUUGAGGGGCACUGAUAAUUGUGCAUGAGUAGUGCAUUUUUGUGUCAGGGUCUUUACAAUAGGUUGUUGCUGUAGCACUGUUCUCUCCAGAUCUCCUUGUUCCCAAAAUUCAUUUGCAACCAGAAGAGCUACCUGCAAAUAAGAGAAGCUUGGUUCAUUAAAGUCCACUUAUUAAUAGAGAAUUUGCAUUUUAUUAGUAUGAGUGAUGCUUAAGGAUAUAGCGUUAUAGUUGAUACUUGAGGUGUAUUUGUACCGUAUACUCCUAACCUUUAAAAAGAUCAUCUACAGAUUGUAUCGAAAUGGGAAAGGGAAACUUUUCCUCCUCCUUCAAUGUCCUGGACUCAUUCUGGUAGUGCCUGUCUCCUCAUUGCUAUUGCCACCACCUCUCAACAGUAAAGAGGGAGAUGGGAGGAUGCUGGAUUCCAUUAAACAUAUCAUGCUCUGAUGCUUCCCAAGUCCUCCUCUUGUCCUGCUUAUCUUUUAGGAUCCAGAACAUACAUGGGUACACACAGACACACACACAUUAGUGUGCUGCUUGAUUACAGUGUGAGGAGACUCAGAGUUAAUUUAUAUUGUAAAAAAAAAUCUGUCAAGUUCAUUGAACACCUGUUGGCUGCCUUUUAUUGGCAUAUGCCGUGCUUGCCAAGAGGAAUAAGACAUGACUUUUGUCUUCAAGAAAGAAAGCAUUCUUUAAGAUGCUCACAAUCUAGUGAAGACAACCAUGUGAAUAAUGAAGGAAGUACUAUAGCAGCGAUACUAUGAAGUGUUACAGAACAAGGAGGGAGGAAAGGCAAGCAUCAUAACGGAGGGAAGCUGUGUUUAUGCUGUGUCAUUAAGAAUGAAUAGUAGUUUGCAGGGAAGUGGGGGGAAAGCAUGUACAGUGACCAAAUUCAAUGUGCAGAACUUAUGGGAGUAGGAGCUUAGAGUGUGAGGCACUGACAUGGGAGAGAGUGCAGGGAAAUGAGCCUGGGAAAGUGAGGUAAGGACAGGUAGCGACAGGCCAGCCACAUAACCUUGCUGGGAAACUUGAACUUGAUUGUCUAGGCUAGUGGAUUUAUUCCUGGAGCCCUAGAGUCUCUCCAAAGUGUACCAAGGGUCCAGGCGGGUGGAGGCCAAAAGAGAGUAAAGCUAAAAUAGCUUUUUUUUUUUCUCUUUUAUCAAGUGGCUUUUGAGGGUUUUUUUGGGGGGGGGGGUGAACUUUUUUUUUAAAAAGUUGAAAACUGGCAACGUGGAGUUUUUAGGAGACUUUUAAGCAGUGGAGUGGCUCAGCUCUAUAAGCAACCCCAGCAAGCAGGUCAGAGGAUGGUGCGGGGAGUUGAUGAUGAGGUUGCCACCAGAGCCUCAUCAUUCUGAUAAAAGAGGAUGAAAAGUCUAAACUGAGGCAGUAGCAAGGGUGAGAGAAACAGUUUUGAAAUGAGGGCAAUGCCCUCAAGUAAGACCCCCGGAUUCUGGCUUAGGUGAUUGCACAGAUGAAGAAUCUAGGAGGAAGAGCAGGCAUGUCAGGGUGGACGGAGUGCAAGUGCUUGGUUUUGGGCUUGAUGGGUUCCAAUUACGACAUCAUUACAAGACAAUCCACGUUUACAGUUGGACCUGGCUGAUUCUGGCCUCUCUUGCCUAGAGUUUUUCCUAGAAAUUAUUAAGGGAAAGGAGACAUAUCUUUCAUCCAGUUAGUGGGAAAACAAUACUGGAUGAACUAAUGCCUCCCCACUCCCACUCUCCAAGCUUGGGGAAGAACUUCAGUGGAAGACCACCUUAAACAUGAACUCACAGACAAUGCCUUCUAAUAAUUAGCAGCCCAUUUAAGAAGAGAUUGAUUGUAAGAGCAAAACCAGCCCUGACGGAAGAAAGCACUUAGGAUUCAACCUCGUCUAGGCUGACUUACCUCCUCUACUAAAAAACUCAGACUGUCCCUGAGUAAUUUUAUGUAAACGUUUUACAACCCGUCCAAUCAUAAGGCAUUCCUUCUAGAAAACAUUUUCUGUCCAAGGUUCCCUCUGCUUUGGUCUAGGGCCUGAUCAAAUUACCUAUUGUCUUACUGAUGUUUGUGAGCUCUUGAAAGUUUUUUGCCUUUCGUCAUUAACAGAAACCCAACAGGGAACAUUUAUUUCUGUCAUAACUUCUCAAGUUAUUUUUUCUUUCUUUAAAAUUAUAAACCAAUUAUUUGAGAGGACAUUUCUGGUGUAAUGAAAGAUAAUUGCUUAUAAAAUAUGUAUAGUCAUGUAACUAGUAGCAAUGAUAAGAUUCCAAGGGUUGCCAGAUGGACUUUUACAUGGGAUCUAGGCAGUACCUGAGAGUGGGACAGAAAUAAAACAAAUGGACUCACCUGGCUUUGUACCUCCCAGGGCUUGGUUAUGGCAGACAAGUCACAUGCAGUCAUCAUCAUUGCCCUUUGGAAGAGAAGAAAGUGAAAUUUGUUAAAAGAGAAAUAAAUACAAGUUCUGGAAGAUGUUUAAAGUCUGUAAGAUGAAAAUUCACAAUGAAGUGCAAUCGUUAACUUGCCUUUGAUUCAACAAGCAACCAACCGAAGUGUGUUUAACAAAGUAAGCAAAGAUUAUUCUAUUACGGAAAGAAGAAAAAUGAGGUCUUGCAACACUUUUUUUGCUUUCAACUUUUAUCUCAUGGAUUUCUCUACUUUAAGUAAGACACUUUAACCUAAAAGCAUGUAGCAACCAAAACCAAGCCUGUUACCAUCAAGUCGGUUCCAACUCAUGGUGACCCCAUGGGCUUUUUAAUAAAUGAUAUUGAGUCAGUUGGAUUUCCAUAUGGAAAAAAAGUGUCUUGACCGUUACCUCACACCAUAUAUAAAGAAAAUUUAAACUAGUUGGAGUCUACCCAGAAGCACCUCGGAAGAAAGGCCUGGUGAUCUACUGCUGAAAACUCAGCCACUGAAAACCCUACGGGGCACAGCUCCGCGCGUGGGGGCACCAGGAAUUAGAAGCAACUCAAGGGCACUAGUCGGCUGGAGUAACGAACGGCAGGUCAGUGUCUGCUGGGGCUGGAGCGGGGAGGCGGAUGUGAAGGGGUGUGAGGAAUCUUUCAGGGUGAUGAAAGUGUUCUGUAUCUUGAUUGUGGAGGGAGUUUCACCGGUGUAAACAACUGUAAAAACUCAUAGAAUUGUACACUUACACCUUAAUUAUGUUGAUUAAAAAACCAAACUCUGACCACAGGAAAAAUGAAUAGCUUGGAUGCUAUGAUCUUAUUUUUCUAAAUUUGUUUCUGUCUAUGCUGCCUGCAUAUAUUCACAAGGUGGCUGCAAUGAAGCUCAUUAAUGUUAAUGAAGUGUCUAUUUCUGGGUGGUAGGAUUCAAAGAGACUUUUUAUAUUUGUCUUUGAAAUUUUCCCUAUUGCUUGAAUUUUCAUAGUGGGCAUGUACCACCCUUACAGGUAUAAGUCAUUAAUUUUAAAGAUAUAUAAGUAUGUAAUGUUGCAUUUGUUUUCCUGAGCCUUGUGCUGAAAACAUGGUGUAAAGACAGGUGCCACAGAACAAGAGUGAACCUACUUCCCAGCCCUGUUCCAUCUGGGCCCCUGCUUGUUCAGGUGGUCUCACCUGAUCACAAGAAGAGUCUAUUUUUGUUCUCCUCUGACUAUUAACAUGGCACUAAAAAUACAAAUUCUGUGUAGCACACCAAAAUGGGUAGAAAUGGCUCUAAUUUAUUCUGAUUGGGGCUUUUAGGUGAUGUGAGGCCAGAGCAAGUCCCAGCCAUUCCAAUCUUCAAUGUGGGGACCUUGACACCUAUGAGAGAAUAUUGCCAACACAUUCCUGACUCUUGAUGGCCACACACAAAACACUUAAUUUCUUCUUCGUUCCUUCUUUGUACAAAACAAGACAACCUGAGGAGGUUGAUAGGAAAAAGCAUAAAUACAAUUGUCAUACACUUCGUGAAAGGUAUUUUGAAUAACAACAGCGUUCUGGUAUUUAUCCAGAGCAAUUUAUUUUUGUCAUUUCUAUAGAACAGUAGAGUCUAAAAAUGUAUGCUCCUGCAAAUUCAGCUAACUAGGCUUCCACCCAUUCAGUCAGGUUUGAGCGUUAAUUUCUAGUUGGCUUAGAAGCAAGUGAUUCUAAUCCUCAAAGCAGUGAAUCCAAUUCUACUGGGAGAGAUGGACAUUUUAGUUCAAAGCUUUAUAACGUGAAAAACAAAAUGAGUAAUGCCCACAAAAUGCCAGCAUUCCUCCAUAAACCCUAAGGAUUUCCCUUAUUUAAAAAAAAAAACAAAGUUUGUAAGCAUGGACAUUAUUACCUUCUAACA